UAGGGAAUAUUGCACAAUGGGCGCAAGCCUGAUGCAGCUAUGCCGCGUGGAGGAUGAAGGCCUUCGGGUCGUAAACUCCUUUUCUGAGGAAAGAAUAGCCGAGAGAGGAAAUGCCCUUGGUUUGACGGUACCUCAGGAAUAAGCAACGGCUAACUCCGUGCCAGCAGCCGCGGUAAUACGGAGGGUGCGAGCGUUGUUCGGACUUACUGGGCGUAAAGGGAGCGCAGGCGGUCCGGUCAGUCUAAAGUGAAAUCCCGGGGCUUAACCUUGGAAGUGCUUUGGAGACUGCCGGACUUGAGUACGUGAGAGGAGGGCGGAAUUCCAGGUGUAGCGGUGAAAUGCGUAGAUAUCUGGAGGAACACCUGUGGCGAAAGCGGCUCUCUGGAACGAAACUGACGCUGAGGCUCGAAAGCGUGGGGAGCAAACG
rnacentral:rRNA from 1 species